UACGGAGGGUGCAAGCGUUAUCCGGAUUCACUGGGUUUAAAGGGUGCAUAGGAGGGCAGGUAAGUCAGUGGUGAAAUCCUAGAGCUUAACUCUAGAACUGCCGUUGAUACUAUCUGUCUUGAAUAUUGUGGAGGUGAGCGGAAUAUGUCAUGUAGCGGUGAAAUGCUUAGAUAUGACAUAGAACACCAAUUGCGAAGGCAGCUCGCUAACACAUAUAUUGGACUCUGAGGCACGAAAGCGUGGGGAUCAAACAGG
rnacentral:rRNA from 1 species